UCUGGUUAAUCCUGCCAGUAGUUAUAUGAUUGUCUCAAAGAUUAAGCCAUGCAUGUCUAAGUACAAACGAAUUAAAAGUGAAACCGCAAAAGGCUCAUUAUAUCAGUUAUGGUUUAUUAGAUCGUUAACAGUUACUUGGAUAAUUGUGGUAAUUCUAGAGCUAAUACAUGCAAUAUAUAAACACGGACCCUUCACGAACGUGUGCUUUUAUUAGGCUAAAACCAAGCGAUAAUACUUUUAUAGUAAUAUCGUCAUAAUGGUUGAACUCUAGAUAAUUUGCAGAUCGUAUGGUCUUGUACCGACGACAGAUCUUUCAAAUGUCUGCCCUAUCAACUAUUGAUGGUAGUAUCUUGGACUACCAUGGUUGCAACGGGUGACGGGGAAUCAGGGUUCGAUUCCGGAGAGGGAGCCUGAGAAACGGCUACCACAUCUAAGGAAGGCAGUAGGCGCGUAAAUUACCCACUCCCAGUACGGGGAGGUAGUGAGGAAAAAUAACAAUACAGGACUCAUAUCCGAGGCCCUGUAAUUGGAAUGAGUACACUUUAAAUCUUUUAACAAGGACCUAUUGGAGGGUAAGCCUGGUGCCAACAGCCGCGGUAAUUCCAGCUCCAAUAGCGUAUAUUAAAGUUGUUGCGGUUAAAACGUUCGUAGUUGAAUUUGUGCUCCAUACGGGUAGUACAGUAAUAGUAGUAAAAUAUUGGUUUGUACAUUACCUUAUAUUACGCGAGCGUAUUAUCGGUGGAGUUCUAAUAUAUAUCUAUAUACAAUUUUAAUUGUUGUAAAUAUAUAUAACUCCUAUUUAAAAACCUGCUUCAAUGCUCUUUACCGAAUGUUGUUGUGGGCCUAUACAAUUACUUUGAACAAAUUAGAGUGCUUUAAGCACUCUAUUUACACUGAAUAUUUUGUGCAUGGAAUAAUGGAAUAAGACCUCUGUUCUACUUUCAUUGGUUUUUAGAUCAAGAGGUAAUGAUUAAUAAAAGCAGUUGGGGGCAUUAGUAUUACGACGCGAGAGGUGAAAUUCUUAGACCGUCGUAAGACUAACUUAAGCGAAAGCAUUUGCCAAAGAUGUUUUCAUUAAUCAAGAACGAAAGUUAGAGGUUCGAAGGCGAUCAGAUACCGCCCUAGUUCUAACCAUAAACGAUGCCAGCUAGCAAUUGGGUGUAGCUUCUAUUCUGGCUUUCUCAGUCGCUUCCCGGGAAACCAAAGCUUUUGGGCUCCGGGGGAAGUAUGGUUGCAAAGCUGAAACUUAAAGGAAUUGACGGAAGGGCACCACCAGGAGUGGAGCCUGCGGCUUAAUUUGACUCAACACUGGAAAACUUACCAGGUCCGAACAUAAAUGAGUAAGACAGAUUGAUAGCUCUUUCUCGAAUAUAUGAGUGGUGGUGCAUGGCCGUUCUUAGUUCGUGGAGUGAUUUGUCUGGUUAAUUUCUAUAACGAACGAGACUCAAAUAUAUUAAAUAGAUGCAUUCAGGAUUAUGAUGUUGAAACUUUAUAUAGUCUUCUAACAUUUUUAUACACGUCAAAAUGUAUAUACUGUUUGAUUGUAUUUAUAUAAAGUGGAGUCGUACCUGUUUGUUUGUCCCAUUAAUACGGACACUAGCUUCUUAAAUGGACAAAUUGCGUCUAGCAAUAAUGAGAUUGAACAAUAACAGGUCUGUAAUGUCCUUAGAUGUCCUGGGCUGCACGCGCGUUACAAUGAAAGUAUCAACGUGUAUUUCCUAGAGAGGUCUGGGUAAACCGCUGAAUCACUUUCAUGCUUGGGAUUGUGAACUGAAACUGUUCGCAUGAACCUGGAAUUCCCAGUAAGUGCGAAUCAUUAAUUCGCAUUGAUUACGUCCCUGCCCGUACACACCGCCCGUCGGUACUACCGAUUGAAUUAUUUAGUGAGGUCUCCGGACGUGAUCGCUGUGACGCCUUGUGUGUUACGGUUGUUUCGCAAAAGUUGACCGAACUUGAUUAUUUAGAGGAAGUAAAAGUCGUAACAAGGUUUCCGUAGGUGAACCUGCGGAAG
rnacentral:rRNA from 1 species